ACGGUUACCUUGUUACGACUUAGCCCCAGUCACCGGUUUUACCUUAGGGCGCUCCUUGCGGUUGCACACUUCAGGCACUCCCGGCUUCCAUGGCUUGACGGGCGGUGUGUACAAGGCCCGGGAACGUAUUCACCGCGCCGUGGCUGAUGCGCGAUUACUAGCGAAUCCAGCUUCAUGGAGUCGGGUUGCAGACUCCAAUCCGAACUGAGACAGGCUUUGAAGUUCCGCUCUGCGUCGCCGCAUCGCUUCUCUCUGUACCUGCCAUUGUAACACGUGUGUCGCCCCGGACGUAAGGGCCGUGCUGAUUUGACGUCAUCCCCGCCUUCCUCACAACUUGCGCCGGCAGUCUCGCCAGAGUCCCCAACUUUACUUGCUGGUAACUGGCGAUGGGGGUUGCGCUCGUUAUGGCACUUAAGCCGACACCUCACGGCACGAGCUGACGACAACCAUGCAGCACCUCGACGGAUGUCCCGUAGGACUGCCUCCUUUCAGAAACAUCCAUCCGUCGUUUGAGCCCGGGUAAGGUUCCUCGCGUAUCAUCGAAUUAAACCACAUGUUCCUCCGCUUGUGCGGGCCCCCGUCAAUUCCUUUGAGUUUCACCGUUGCCGGCGUACUCCCCAGGUGGAAUACUUAACGCUUUCGCUGUACCACCCAAGCAUCAUUCU
rnacentral:rRNA from 1 species